UACGAAGGGGGGCUAGCGUUGCUCGGAAUCACUGGGCGUAAAGCGCACGUAGGCGGCUUCUUAAGUCAGGGGUGAAAUCCUGGAGCUCAACUCCAGAACUGCCUUUGAUACUGGGAAGCUUCGAGUCCGGAAGAGGUGAGUGGAACUGCGAGUGUAGAGGUGAAAUUCGUAGAUAUUCGCAAGAACACCAGUGGCGAAGGCGGCUCACUGGUCCGGUACUGACACUGAGGUGCGAAAGCGUGGGGAGCAAACAGG
rnacentral:rRNA from 1 species